rnacentral:misc_RNA from 1 species
UAUAGUAGUGAAAAACCUAAACCUAUAAACUAAUACUGGACUGUGCUCUUCUUCAUGAGCAGUAGAAUGAAAUGGAAAUAUUUUCUCUCUGGCUUGUAGGUAAAAGCAUAUUGUAGAGUCUAUUUUAUGUUAACCAAGUGUUUUGUUUUUUUGGGAAACAUCUUUCAAACUUUCUACACAAAAUAGGUCUGAUUGAGUGCUAGGGCAAUUUUUUUUUUCUUAUUGUAUAGUUUUUACAUGUAUAGAAGGCUGGACUACAAAAGAGAUAUACUGUAUACAGGGUUAUUUUCGCCCCGAGUAAUUUUCGCCCUUCUACACUAGCAAUUACUUUUGCCCUGUCUUGAAUUCGCCCAGACACAGUUUUAUUUGAAUUUGCCCAGUCUUAAAUUCGCCCACUGACAACGAGGGCAAAAGGGGCGAAAAUAAAACGGGGGCGAAUAUUUUCCUGUAUACCGGUACAUUAUUGAUACCCUCACUGUGAUAUAUUGAUUAUGUAAUGUAUGUGCGAUUUCUGCAAUAGUGUAAAUGAUUUCAUAUUUCAUCAAAUCUGAGAUCAUAGUCAUCUUAUGUGUGUAUGUGCGUUUGUGAACAUUGAUGUUGAAAAUGUAACAGUAAUCGUGGAGUAUUUUAUAAUUUUGUGGUCACAUCAUAAUGUGACCGUUGCAUUAGGGUAUUCAAAUUGUGCAGUGGAUCGAGAUUCAGUGUCAGACUUUUGGAGAUAUAUACCCGGUAUAUGGUGUCUGUUUUGUAAUUUUUUAUUUAUUUGAUAAAUUGUGAAAUUUCAUAUAGAAUUUUUGUAAAAUGAGUUUAUGAAGGAAAAACAUAUAUGAUUUUUUUUUUAUGAAAAUAAAAGUUUUAUACCCAG